AAACGGAGUGCUUUAGUUUUUUUGGGAGCGUACAAACUGUGAGCCAGACACAAUCAGGCCAGCAAUUUUGCACAAUGCGAUUUGAACAUAACUAAGUGGUGCUGAGUUGAUGCGUGAUCCUAACCUGGCAAGCGUCUGGGCACAUCGUUGAUGGAAGGCAGGCCCGUGCCUCUGCUGGAGGAGAGCGGGGCGGUGGAGUGCACGGAGGGGGACGCCAUGGGACUCAGGUAGGACGGAUACGUCUGAUCGUACGACCACGGCGGCGACGACUGAGACUGACGCGGGUCUGAUCGGGUGCGGAGGAAGAAACAACAGUGACAAAACAAUUGCAUUAUUAGUGUAUGUGGAGGACCCGGUUUGAAUCCUUUGGAGUGUUCACCUUCCA